UACGGAGGGUGCGAGCGUUAAUCGGAAUUACUGGGCGUAAAGGGUUCGUAGGUGGUUAAUUAAGUUAUCUGUAAAAUCCCUGGGCUCAACCUGGGCAGGUCAGAUAAUACUGGUUAACUCGAGUAUGGGAGAGGGUAGUGGAAUUUCCGGUGUAGCGGUGAAAUGCGUAGAGAUCGGAAGGAACACCAGUGGCGAAGGCGGCUACCUGGCCUAAUACGUGACACUGAGGAACGAAAGCGUGGGGAGCAAACAGG
rnacentral:rRNA from 1 species